rnacentral:lncRNA from 1 species
CUGAUCUUGAACUCUUGACCUCAGACCAACAGAACUUCACAGUGACACUGGACCAGGUCCUGCUCCGCUGCCUGGAACACCAGCAGCACUGGAACCACCUGGACGAAGAGCAGGCCAGCCCGGACCUCUGGAGUGCCCCCAGCCCAGAGCCCGGUGGCCUGUCUGUGAGAUGAGAAGAAGACCAGACUGAAGCCUGUUCACCAUAUGCCAGGCAGUGCUUUCUGCAGACCCCCUUGCAGAGACCUUGUGAUGGAGAAUUAUACACAUUUGACAGACGAGGGAACUGUGGCUGGUUUCAAG